AUUAAAGAUCUAAAAAUGAGACCUGAAACCCUAAAAACCUUAGAGGAGAACAUAGAGAGUAACCUCUUGACAUUGGUUGUAGCAGCUUCUUUCUAGGCAUGUCUACUGAGACAGGGGAAAUAAAAGCAGAAAUAAUGUAUUGGGACUUAAUACAAAUAAAAAGCUUCUUGUGCACAGUGAGGGAAUCAAUCAGCUAUACUGUGGAAUGGGAAAAAAAUAUUUGUAGAUGACAUGGUAAUGGGUUAGUAUCCAAAAUAUUCAAAGAACUUAAAGAAUUGAAUGCCCCCAAAAUGAAUAAUGCAAUUAAUAAGUGGGCAGAAGGCAUGAACAGGCAUUUUUCUAUAGAACACAUACUGAUGGCUAACAGACUCAUG